rnacentral:rRNA from 1 species
AGUGAACGCUGGCGGUAGGCCUAACACAUGCAAGUCGAACGGCAGCACAGUAAGAGCUUGCUCUUACGGGUGGCGAGUGGCGGACGGGUGAGGAAUACAUCGGAAUCUACUUUUUCGUGGGGGAUAACGUAGGGAAACUUACGCUAAUACCGCAUACGACCUACGGGUGAAAGCAGGGGAUCUUCGGACCUUGCGCGAUUGAAUGAGCCGAUGUCGGAUUAGCUAGUUGGCGGGGUAAAGGCCCACCAAGGCGACGAUCCGUAGCUGGUCUGAGAGGAUGACAAGCCAAACUGGACUGGAGACACGGCCCAGACCCUUACGGGAGGCAGCAGGGGGGAAUAUGGACAAUGGGCGCAAGCCUGAUCCAGCCAUACCGCGUGGGUGAAGAAGGCCUUCGGGUUGUAAAGCCCUUUUGUUGGGAAAGAAAAGCAGCAGGUUAAUACCCCGCUGUUCUGACGGUACCCAAAGAAUAAGCACCGGCUAACUUCGUG